rnacentral:rRNA from 1 species
UACGGGAGGCAGCAGUGGGGAAUAUUGCACAAUGGGCGCAAGCCUGAUGCAGCCAUGCCGCGUGUAUGAAGAAGGCCUUCGGGUUGUAAAGUACUUUCAGUCGUGAGGAAGGUGUUAAGGUUAAUAACCUUAGCAAUUGACGUUAGCGACAGAAGAAGCACCGGCUAACUCCGUGCCAGCAGCCGCGGUAAUACGGAGGGUGCGAGCGUUAAUCGGAAUUACUGGGCGUAAAGGGCACGCAGGCGGUUAAUUAAGUUGGAUGUGAAAUCCCCGGGCUUAACCUGGGAAUGGCAUUCAAGACUGGUUAGCUAGAGUCUUGUAGAGGGGGUAGAAUUCCAUGUGUAGCGGUGAAAUGCGUAGAGAUGUGGAGGAAAUACCGGUGGGCGAAAGGCGGCCCCCUGGGACAAAAGGACUGACGCUCAUGUGCGAAAAGCGUGGGGAGCAAAACAGGGAUUAGAUACC